UGGCAAUACAAUGACAAAGGUUGUCGUCCCGGGCCAUUAAUUUCGACUGUCAAAAGAUGCGACAGUAAUCAAAGUAACUGCUUUGCAGUGAAAUAUUUUUCAUUCCUCAGCAAAACGGGCACUUUCUUUUUCAUUCUGCAACAAGCAAGACCAUGUGAUAAGCUGAUAUUUUGAAGUUGCGUUCAGCGAAUGAGCAAAACAAGCUCAUGCAGUAGUCGUUACAGUACGUUACUGUGGAUUUAUCCAAAUUUCUUUCCAAAUACUUUUGAACUUUAAGAAACUGAAACCCUCACAAAUAAAGUCACAAAUCAAGAAUUAACAUUGAUUGUGAUGGUGGCAAGGGUGCCUUCAUAAGGUGCCAUCCAGCAAGUCCCAGCCUGGAGCCAGAGGCUGGCACUGCACGUCAGAUGGGGGAGGAUCUAUGUUAGGCAUCAGAAAGGUGGUUUAAGCAAGAAGGAAAGAGCUUCUGCAGACAGUGUUGCAAUUAGACACCUGACUUUUACUGAGUCCCUUUUCUGGUUUGUUUUGGAUGAACUAGAGUGGUGGGCACAGAAAUUUUGUCGAUGGGUCAAACAUUCACACUCACACAACCACACUUGUGGAUUUGUCAAGCAAAAAAUCAUCUUUGUAUAUAAUCUGUUGCACAUUGAAUAUGCUUAAUAAAUGUU